UAUAAAAAAAGUAUCAAGGGUUGAAAGAACAGCUGGAACAAAUGUGGAAGGUCAAAGCCGACAUGGUCCCCGUGGUAGUAGGAGCCCUCGGGGCUGUGACCCCCACACUGGGAGAGAGUGGCUCCAGCAGAUUCCAGGAACAACAUCUGAAGCCUCAUUCCAGAAGAGCGCAGUCCAAGGAACAGCUAAGAUACUGAACCCUCAGACUCCCAGGCCUCUGGUAGAGGACCCGAGCUUGAAGAAGACACAGAUACCACCGCACGAGGAAACAUUAAAACUCAUAUGUCAUUACACUGAAGCCCAGAAGCAAGUUACACGGAACGGUCUUGCUUGAUGUGAGACAUGACAUAUUCAGGUGAUGACUCAUAACACAAACAGGUUUCUCUGCCUUGUGACAGUGCAGUUCAUCAUGUUCUUUGCAGUGAAUGCCAUAAUAGGUUUGGUAAAACAAAAUCUGUUGCGCAUGCGUUAUGUAAUGGCAAAGAUAAUGGAAACAAACAGAUGUUUGAAUAAACCCUCUAUUUUCUA